CUCUCUUCAGAGACAUCCAAUAAAUUUGAAAUAAUACAGAGAAGAUUAGCAUGAUCCCUAUGCAAAGAUGACACGCACAAAUCUGCUCAUUGUUAAACUAAU